GACGUAGGGUGCAAGCGUUGUCCGGAUUUACUGGGCGUAAAGAGCGCGUAGGCGGUCCGUUAAGUGUGAAGCUAAAUCUCUUGGCUCAACCAAGAACUAUUUCGCAUACUGACGGGCUGGAGUGAUGCAGAGGUGGAUAGAAUUCCCGGUGUAGCGGUGAAAUGCGUUGAUAUCGGGAGGAAUACCCGUGGCGAAGGCGGUCCACUGGGCAUCAACUGACGCUGAGGCGCGAAAGCGUGGGUAGCAAACAGG
rnacentral:rRNA from 1 species